rnacentral:lncRNA from 1 species
GAGAUAGGCAGAGCUGUGAGUGCCAAAGGUUUAACAAAAAUUGAUGGGAAAAACUUAACAUUGAGAAAAUUGUAUCUUUGAGCAUAAUUUGGACAAGCUUCCACUAUUCUAUUUUAGUGAAGGAACAUUUCUUUCCAACUUCGGAGUGCCACUGAAGUUCAGUCUGCAGGGAGAGCUGGGUUGGGUGCUGGGGUUAGGGUGGGAGUAGGUGGGAUGGGGUGGGGGUGAGGGAGGUGAGUUUGGAGGAAGUUGGGUAGGGGCUGUGUAUUGGGGAUCUGAGGAAUUUGGGUCUGAUUCUUCAAGCCAUGGUAAGUUGUAGAGUAAAGGAGUGACAAAUGGAAGGGGGAAAUUUGGGAACGACAAACCUGAUGAGGGUGAAGGGUAGGUUGAAGUGCAUCAUAGCAGAGAGGUGAGAGAAAGAGAGCACAGACCUGGCUGAAGAGAUGGGGGAUCAGAAAAAGCAUUCUUCAGAUGCCUUCUUGUCCCGGCUCAGAACACCCCAAAGCUCAGAGGAACAGGACUGGGUUCACAAGGAAGAACAGGGAAGCUGUCUGGGCUAUCAACACUCUUCAGUGUCUUGGAAUCAACCCAGCAUGUCCUGCUGCUGCUGCUUUCUGCCUCUGCUAGCUUGGAUCCGGUAGGAAGAACAGAGUUUUACAUUCCUUCAGUGAGUAAUUGACAAAGCUCCACACCAGGUGUGAGUGGGGGGGUGGGGAGGCUCAUAUUUGCUCCUCCCCUGACUUCUUCCCCACCCUCCCUCCUUCUAGGCACACCAGGGAUUUGUUCAUCAGGGCUGAUCUUGAAUGGUGGAGAUAGAUUCAAGCCAUUUUGAGCCCAGGUCCAGGGUAAACAAGUAACAGAAUCCUGUAGGCUGUUACAUUUGUUGUUUUAAAAAGACUUGGUACAUUAUUUGUAAGGGAGUGCCGUGGGAAGUAAAAUAGUUCUUUCAGCUGGCAGGCAUGCCUAUCUGUCAUGAUACUUAAAAAAAAUUAAACUUAUGGCCUAAUUCCAAUCAGAGAGGUUUCAGAUAUUUAAUAAUCUCAUUUGUUACAGUUUCUCCAAAAGCAUUUGUUUUUGUUAAGUUUUAAAAUCAAUCUUCUCCAUUCACCCUAAUUGGGAGUUACAAAGACAUUUUAAAUUGUAAAAUCAUUCUAUAUCCAUUGUAUACAGUUAGGGAAAUAUAAAAAAUAAUUACAAAUAAACUAAACAUCCAUCAUUCUAGAAAUGAAUACUGUUAACAUUUAAGCAUAUUUCCUCCCUGUCUUUUUUUCUUGCUGUUUUACAUAAUGGAGAUUUUAAAAGAUAAAAAGCUUUGUAUUUUUUCCUAGUAUUAUGUCAUAGGAGUGGCUCUAGGUUAUUAAACAUUCUUCAAAAACUCAAUUUUUAAAGUUUGCUUAGUAUGUCUUCUUAUAGCUAUAAUAUGAUUUGCUUGUUUCCCUAAUGUUGAUUGAGUAUUAGGCUGUUUCCAAUUUUUUGAGGUUAAAAAAAACACUACCGUGAAUAUCUUUGUGUGUGUGUGUGUGUGUGUGUGUGUGUGUUUGUGUGUGUUUUAGUAUAGGUAUGACAGUAGGCGAUCUGGCUACAUUCUGUUGCCUAUUUUAGAUGGGGAUAGGACUGCCCCCUUGCCAUUAUGAAUGACAGCUGUCAGCCAAAGAGAGGGCUGCGCUAGAGACUGUCAAUCUGGCUCCUGGGAGAAGGGAUAACACUCAGCACAGGAAUGUUGUAAACACGUUAGGGAGGUCUUGCAAUUCCACUUUGAAAUGGAGGAACCUAAACUACAAUCCAUUUUCACAUGAGGUCGGGUUUGUUCAGGGUGGUAUGGCCAUAGAUAACAAUCCAUUUUCAAAGGAAACAGAGGUUUUCAAAAAGCCUUUUGAAUGGACUGGGCUAGUAUUGUGUGAUUUUUAAAUUAAAUUACACAUGUUAAAAAUGGGCGAUCUAAUGAAAUAGAGAAUAGAGGUUACUUUGAAUGAUAAACUAGUAGGAAUAGUAUUCGUGAAGUUCCAGGCAGGCUGACUUCCUUGGUGAGUUCACCGGGGUGACAGGACGAGUGUUGGAGUUGGCAAAGCAGAAUUCUAAUACCAGCUGGGCCAUAUUGGGCAGGUUGCUUGAUGUCUCUGAGCCUCAGAUUCCCCACUAACAAAAUGAGGCUGAUAAUGACACUAAUAUUUCUCACCUGCAGUUUGUUGUUGAGAGGAUUUAAACACCAAGGGAGGAUCAGUAAAUGGCAGCUAAGGCUGUGCCCUAAGGGAUGGCUGAGGCUUGUUCUUAACCCAGAAUUCAAAAUAGGCCUGCCUGACCUCAGGACAGCGCAACACAAGAGACUUGCACGUACAGAACAUGGAUGUAAAGAGGGAAUCCUGGGUUAUAGUUUCAGAAUCCACUGUGGGGAUCUUAAACCCUCUCUCUUCAGCCUUUAAUAAAUGAUUUAAUUUGCACACUGGACAGUUCAACACUAUUUUUUUUUUUUUUUUUUUUUUGCCCCAGCCUGUGAAAAGGGACGGGGUUGGGCUAAGGCAACGUUGAAACAUUGCAUUCCUCUGCCAGAAGCUUAAAAACCCUGCAAUCAAACCCGAGGCCCUAUGCGGAAACAAGUGUAUCCGAUGACAGCUUAUUAUGGAAGGUUCUGAACUUCUAAGAAUUCCUUAGUAGGAGACAAACAAAAUACAAAGAUAUCCUCCUAAUUUUCUGCGACUGGGAAUUUUUGUUUUUCUCUUCCUCACUUCUCCCAUCCAUUCUGCAUGUUUGUUAAAAUGUAGGCACACAGGGUCCACGGUGUGUGGUACUUGAGUGGGCAAAAGGCUAGUUCAGCUGGCCAGCGAGGCAGACAAGACGUGGUUCAACACACGCAUUGCUGGGAGCUGGGACUUCUCCUUCAUUAGUUAAACAUGGGCAUGAAGUAAAGAUUUCUGGUGUGUGUGUCUGUGUGUUUUCAAACGGCAGGUUCAGCACUUCUAAGUACAUAGCAUGAUAGGAAGAGAAGUCUGUAAUCACCUCUCAUGUCUGGGGUCCUGAUGGGCCCAGAGCAGAUUUGAUUUACGUUAUCUUCAAGCGGGAAACUUGUCAUCCAGUCUUCAUUUGCCCUUCUCUCUGGGCAGGAAAGAGCUCCAUUUUUCCCGCUCCACAGAGGACAUUUUAUUUUUGCAGUUCUUUGAAGUGCCCUCAGAGAUCUAAGCACCAGGCUGAAGGCAGCUCUGUGUAUCCUUGCAACAGAUUAGAACAUAUUCACAUUUUAUUUGCUCACAGAACAAAUAUUUCCCUUGGAAUGAGACCGAGGCAGUGGAGCAGGACCAGGCAGGACCAGCCACCAAAGACGGCCCCCCAGGCCCCAUGCUGGGCCUGCUCAGCGCCUGCACAAUUGGUUCCACAUAAUUGCUUCUCCACACUCACCUCAUUUAGGCCCUAUAGACACAUAUGGGCUGAUUAGUUGAGUCAUUUAUUGAUUCAGGAAUAUUUGUCGAGCCUCAACAAUGUACCAAACACUAUGCUGGUUACAGAAAUAAAGAGAGAAACACAUUCUGUCCUCAAGGGGCUCCUAAUCAAGUAGGGGAGAGAAGCAAUGUCUGUAUAUUAAUGAAUCAAAUCAAGGUGACAAAGAUAAGGCUUCAGAACCCAGGAGACAAAGUGUUUGAGGUAGGUCAUUAUUCUGUCUGUGUGUUGCGGGGUGUGUGGGCAAGGGUGAGGCGUGUGGGGUGGUGUGGAUAUGGUGUGCAUGGGCCUCUGUGUGUGUAGGUUAUGUGUAUGUGGUGUGUGUGGUGUGGGGAGUGUGUUUGUGUAUGGGAGUGUGUAUGUGUCUGUGGUGACAGUGGUGAAUAUGUGUGUGGGUAUGGUAGUGAUGGUACUAGGUGGUGUUUAGUGCAUGUCCUGUGAGAAUUGUGUGUAGGUAUAGGGAUGUGUGUGUAUAGUGGUGAUGGUGGUGUGUGGUGUGGGGGGGUGUGUGUGGUGGAGAGAGUGUGUGUAUGAGAGUGUGUAUGUAGUGAGUGAUGGUGGUGAAUGUGUGUAGUGGUGAUGGUGGUGUUUGUGUGGUGUGGGGUGUGUGUGUGUAGUGGUGAUGGUGGUGUUUGUGUGGUGUGGGGGGUGUGUGUGUGUGGUGAGUGGUGGUGAAUGUGUGUGUAGUGGUGAUGGUAUGUGUGGUGUGGGGGGUGUGUGUGGGGGGUGAGUGGUGGUGGUGUAUGUUUGGUGUGUGUGGUGUGUGUGUGUGGUGAGUGGUGGUGAAUGUGUGUGUGUAGUGGUGACGGUAUGUGUGGUGUGGGGUGAGUGGUGAUGGUGGUUGUGUGGUGUGUGUGUGUGUGUGUGGUGAGUGGUGGUGAAUGUGUGUGUGUAGUGGUGACGGUAUGUGUGGUGUGGGGUGAGUGGUGAUGGUUGUGUGGUGUGUGUGUGUGUGUGUGUGGUGAGUGGUGGUGAAUGUGUGUGUGUAGUGGUGAUGGUAUGUGUGGUGUGGGGGGUGUGUGUGUGGUGAGUGGUGGUGGUGAAUAUGUGUGUGUAGUGGUGAUGGUGGUAUGUUUGUGUGGUGUGUGUGUGGUGUGGGGUGUGUGUGUGUGGUGAGUGGUGGGGUGGUGGUGAAUGUGUGUAGUGGUGAUGGUGGUGUUUGUGUGGUGUGGGGGGUGUUUGUGUGGUGUGGGGUGUGUGUGUGUAGUGGUGAUGGUGGUGUUUGUGUGGUGUGGGGGGUGUUUGUGUGGUGUGGGGUGUGUGUGCGUGGUGAGUGGUGGUGGUGAAUGUGUGUAUAGUGGUGAUGGUGUUUGUGUGGUGCGGGGUGUGUGUGUGUAGUGGUGAUGGUGGUGUUUGUGUGGUGUGGGGGGUGUGUGUGUGUGUGUGGUGUGGGGUGUGUGUGUGUGGUGAGUGGUGGUGGUGAAUGUGUGUGUGGUAGUGAUGGGGCAGGCUGAGGGCUGAGCCAGAGAAGGCAUGGAGAUGAGACAACUCCAGAGGGUAUGUAAGGGGAGGUGAGUGGUGGGAGGUGAGCUAGGAAGGCAUUUUUAAUGUUGACCCAUACUCUCUAAUCAAGACAAUGACAGUUUUGCAGCUGUUCCUCUUCCUAAGCUCAUGUGAGGAUUUUGGGUUAGAAUCACUGUGUUCUUCUCCGCAGGCCGAAGCUCCCUAGCGCUGGGGCCUCCACUCUGGGAAGGGCCCUGUGGGUGAAUCUCUGAGCGUUUACUGGGCUCCUUCUCUACCUGGGCUGCCGCACCCAGAACAGUUCUUAGAGUUUCCAGCCUCCUGAGCUCGCGGAAUAGCAAAGGUGGGUUCUACUGGACUUGGGGCAGAGGAGGUCUAAAUGUGAGAAUCCCUGAGGCAAAUGUUAGAAGAAAGGGCAGUGCGGCCGGGCAGGGGAUCUCCAGCUCUCUCACAAUGCAUGGCUGCCCUGGCUAGAUCUGGGCUGUGUGGAGCUGUUUAAACAACGAACAAGGGGCCAGGCACGGUGGCUCACGCCUGUAAUCCCAGCACUUUGGGAGGCCAAGGCGGGAUGGAUCACCCGAGUUCAGGAGUUUGAGACCAGUCUGGCCUAUGUGGUAAAACCCCGUCUCUACUAAAAAUACAAAAAUUAGCUGGGCGUGGUGGCGCAUACCUGUAAUCCCAGCUACUCGGAAGGCGGAGGCAGGGGAAUUGCUUGAACCCGGGAGGCGGAGGUUGCAGUGAGCCAAGAUCAUGCCACUGCACCCCAGCCUGGGCGAUAACAGCGAGACUCCGUCUCAAAAAAGAAAACAACAACAGCAACAAACGAAUAAGGAGGCAGAUGUCAGGGGUUGGCUUUCUUCCCCAAAUUUUGGUUUGCUUUUUGUUACUCUCCCCUUACUGGAUAGGGUCAAAGCUGCCUCAUGAUUAAGUGUUGGCCAGAUAAGAAUGAUUUAUUUCCAUUUUACUAGACAGGGACUGGAAACACAGAAAGUCUAAAGAUUGCAAGAUACUAGUCAUGUUGUCUCAGGUCAUUUUCGUGGUUACCUGUGAGGUAAAGGUUUUCUGGUAUCGUCCCCAUUUGACAAAUGGGGAAAUUAGGGCUGAGAGAGGUAAAGUCACUAGCACAAAACCACUCAAGCUUUUCCGUGAGUUCCUCAUCACUGAUUGUCUAACUGAAAUUUGAACCCAAGUCUUUUUGGCACCAAAGACCAUGUUUUUUUCAUAAUGCUUCCUGAAGUUUAUGAGGCAGCAUGGUUUGGCUAAAUGAUGGUGGUUUUCUUCUUUUUUCUUUUUUUUUUUUUUUUUUGAGACGGAGUUUUGCUCUUGUUGCCCAGGCUGGAGUGCAAUGGCACCAUCUCAGCUCACUGCAAUCUC